UUAUGGGGUAUUUUGUAUAAGGAACUAUGGAUAUGAUCCUGUCUCUCUGUGUUUGUUGAUGUUUAAGUGGUUGGACUUAAAUUUAUGGGGUGCUCUACUGUUAUUCCUGCCCAUGGUUCUAGCAUCCAUGCUUAUGCUUAUGCUAUAAUUCAGGAUAUUGUACAGGUCUGCUACCUUCCAUAUUAUGAUAAGCUACUGUUCAGCUGUGGUAGAUACACCAUAACUCAUUGCUUCAUCUUAUUGUCAUAUUGCCUAUCCUUGGUCAGUGCCUAGUUCUGGUUCAGUAGCAGUCUUUGAAGUCUGAUUCCUGUAACUUGAGCUCUACUGUAAAUUUUAUUUGUGGUUUUGCAUUUGAGGGGAGAGUGGAGCUGGAGUUGGCAAGGAAGUAGCCAUGGCAGCCGGAUCCGGCAGGCAGGGGUAGCUUUAUUCAACUCCGUGGGUUAAGGUGUGCUGACUCGCUGUGGUGCUCCUCCUCGACGUGUUGGUGUUGGUGUUCAUGGCAGUGGUCACACAGUUGACACACGACUCCUCCAUCAUGCCCCUGACGAUGGCUGCUUCCCCAGGCCUCCCGUCAUGGCAGCACACACCAUUUCAUGCCACGCCAUGGUGGAUGUAGCGCAUAUGGCACCCCUCCGGAGGAAGAAGAGGAUAACUAGAUGUCACAGCUAGUGAAAACUAGCUGGAGGGGAUGCCGCUCACCGCGAUGGCGAUCAUGGCGCAGCAGGGCGAGCCCUCCUCCUCCGAUUCGCAAGUCCCCGCCCUCUCCUGGGCGUCGGCCUCGCUGCUCCCUCUCCCGGGUGGUGGCGCUGCUCCGCUGACCACAAGUUCCUCCUCUUCCUCUCCACAAAAGGUCACCUUGCUGAUGGUGGUGCCCUCCGGGUGUGCUGCAGGGUGAUGCUGUCCACCACAGCUGUUGCCGGCGUGCACCGGAGCUCCUAGGCCUCAAAGAUAAUUCCAGGCUUCCUUUAGGUUGUGAUAAAUUUGGACAAGUGCUUGGCUAUUCAUUUAGGAUCACUAGUUUAUCAUUAGUUGUUUGAUACCUGACGCGCAUGCCUACAUAAUACAAGCUACCAACUUUCAAGAAAUAACAACAUUUGCCUUUCUAAAUUAGCGUUGCCUAUUUAUUUCCUCGGCAAAGCAACUUGUGCAAUUAUCUGAGUAAAUGCUAGCACUAAUUUGGUGAAGAGAUAUGUCAUCUUAUUAGUUAUUUAUUUCAGUUCG